rnacentral:rRNA from 1 species
GGUAAUUCCAGCUCCAAUAGCGUAUAUUAAAUUUGUUGCGGUUAAAAAGCUCGUAGUUGGAUCUCGGCGGGCAGGGGGCGGUCCGUUAUUUGACGCGACUGCCCCAUUUGCCCGUGUAUCUUCGGCGGAACUCCCGGGGUGCUCUUCGCCGAGUGUCCCGUUGGGGGCCGCCAGCUUUACCUUGAAAAAAUUAGAGUGCUUAAAGCAGGCUCGACACGCCUGAAUAUUUGUGCAUGGAAUAAUGGAAUAGGACGUCGUUCCUAUUUUGUUGGUUUUCGGGAAUCGACGUAAUGAUUAAUAGGGACAGCCGGGGGCAUUAGUAUUCAGACGACAGAGGUGAAAUUCUUGGACCGUCUGGCGACUCACUGCUGCGAAAGCGUUUGCCAAGUAUGUUUUCAUUAAUCAAGAACGAAAGUUAGAGGUUCGAAGGCGAUCAGAUACCGCCCUAGUUCUAACCAUAAACGAUGCCAGCUAGCGAUCCGCAGACGUUUUUAUUGUAGGCUCUGCGGGAAGCUUCCGGGAAACCAAAGCUAUUGGGUUCCGGGGGAAGUAUGGUUGCAAAGCUGAAACUUAAAGAAAUUGACGGAAGGGCACCACCAGGCGUGGAACUUGCGGCUUAAUUUGACUCAACACUGGAAAUCUCACCAGGCCCGGACACCGGAAGGAUUGACAGAUUGAGAGCUCUUUCUCGAUUCGGUGGGUGGUGGUGCAUG